rnacentral:lncRNA from 1 species
CAAGUAGUACUCGUCCGACAGCGGUUCUGACUCUUCUUUCUCAUCUGAAAAAUAUCAUGGUGAAUUUUAAUGAGUUUUACCAACUCAAUAAGUAUUUUCAUUUUUUCAAACCAUAUAAGAUUUCAUGUAAAAACACACAAUAUGAGACAAAUGCAGUAGUAAUAUUUUCAAUGUAAAAUUUAUUUAUUUAUUAUUUUUACCAUUUUCUAACAUAGAAUUUGUUUAUUAAAUGCAAUCAUUUCGGACAUUCCAAUUUCACAUAUUUUUUCCAUCAAAAUCCUCAGUUACACUCGAAUAUCAUUUAUAACCUCGAAAUAUUACCACAUAAACUCGAAAGAACAUUUAUAUACUCUCGAACAUCAUUCAUAAUCUCGAAAUAUAAUCACGUACACUCUAAAGAUCAUAUAUGCACUCAAAAUAUUAUUUCUAAGGUUUUAUCGUGCAAUGUCAUUUAUGUUGUCAUCGAGGAGAAACAAAAUAGAUCCCUCCAUCGCAUGGAUAACACACACACAAAAUCUCACAAUGAUCACAUUAGUUACGUUUGCUAGAUGACCCACACUCACAAACACAUAUCCACGUCUGAACUAGAUUUCAAAUUCUAUACAUGUGCAAGUUCACCAUGUCCGCUGAAUUACAGCUACACACACACACACUACUCUCCUCGAUUCAGACUAAACGAGAAGGUAUUCAAUGUCCAUAUCAUAUUCACUCACAUCCUCUCAUUUCUAAAUUUUUAUUUACUUCCCUCUUAUUUUAUUUUUCUUUUAAAUUUUAUUUAAAUUAAUCGUUUCAUAACCAUAAUCAUUUUCCUUCUAUUUUUAUUCAUUUUCUUACGUUAUUUCUUUUUCUCAACCUUCUGCUUUAUUUGUGAUUUCUUUUAAAUUUAAAUUUUAUUUCUUAUCAUUAGUUCAAGUAUUUCUCAGUCUUUAAUUUUCAUGGUCUCCAUAUCCUCAUAAAUUUCAAAUAAGUUAGAGUUCACUCGUCAUAGGUCCGGAUUCUGUUCUUAAUCGAGAAAUCGGGUUAGUAUUUAUUUUAUGUUUAAAACACACACAAAAUUUACAAUAUACAUAUAUAAAUUCAAAAUUCUAAUCUAGAUUCAAAAUAAAAAAUACUUAUAACUCCUUUUGCGCAACGACCUUCCUAGAUCUGCUUGAACCUUCGUAGAUUUGUUUGAACGUCUUGUUUCAUGGUACACACACGAUACAGAUUAAUUAAUGCAAUCUAAAUAUUAAACAGGGGCUAAAUUCAACCUAAAUCACGGGUUCCAAUGACAACCCGACGGGAUGCCCAGCUCACCACAUAAGAGUGAGCAAUUACUCCAUAACGAUCUCUGUUUCCAAACCCGAGGGUAUCGAGUUCUCGUACCCGAGGAAGACUCCUUGGUUUUUGCGUGGGUGAGCAACUAGGUCGAGCUCGCAUGACCAAUCUGACACCAACCGCUCGCCUCCAUCACCCUAAAACCAAAUUAAUCACGAAAAACAAUUUACCUGCGCCAGUGUGGUGCAAUUCAACCUCGGGUUCAACUCCGGAUGGUCUUUUUGGUUUCCCACAAUUCCCCUUGUUUGCUUCGAAGUUUAGAUGACAGAUUUCAUACCUGCAUACCAGUUAGUGCGAAAUAGGAAAAUGGAUUGAAGGAAAAGUAGAUGAAAAUGAUGAAAGACGAAAAGGACGAGAUUUACGUAUUUGCUCGAUUUCCAUCAUCACAUGGUACUCCUCAGCCCGAUUUCCUUCCUUCCUCUUCCGUUCAGCUUCAGCUAUGCACUCUCUUUCUCUCUCCCUCCCGAUUUUGACUAUUUCUUUCUCUCCUUUCUUCUUCUCCAGCUGCCCUCUUCCUUUCCUCUCUUUCUCUCUUUCAUUCGGCUCUCACUCCUUUCGGCCUCCUCUCAGCUUACCCGUUCGAACUUAGCUCUCUCAUCCUCUCUCUCUUUUUCGGCUUCUCUUCUCAAAAUGAAGAAGAAACCCUAAAAUUUUCUUUAGAUACCCGUCUCCCUGGGUCAUUGGAUCUUGCAAGGCUAGAUUUAGGUCGUUUAACUUGAAUAAAAUCUCAGUCGUUGGAUCCCUCAAACGAUUCGAUUAGGACCAUCCAUCUUCUAAUUUGUUUUUGCCCCAUUCCACUUUCAUUUCGUUAUGCUUUUACCUCUCUUUUUCUUACCUAUUUUUAGUUAAAUCCUUGAAAUUAAUAAAAAAAACCCUCAAAAUUUUAAAAUUCCUU